GGAGAGGUGGCCGAGUGGUUGAAGGCGCACGCUUGGAAAGCGUGUAAAGGGGAAACCCUUUCAUGGGUUCGAAUCCCAUUCUCUCCGCCA
rnacentral:tRNA from 1 species